GAUGAACGCUGGCGGCGUGCCUAAUACAUGCAAGUCGAGCGAAGCGGGGACGGGUGUGAAACACGCUGAUAACCCCCUAUAAGAAUGGGGUAACUUCGGGAAAACUGAGGUAAAACGGAUUCUGAUACAUGGAUGCGUUCUGUAUUUGCUAGUUGGUAGGGUAACGGCUUACCAAGGCAACGAUGCAUAGCCGACCUGAGAGGGUGAUCGGCCACACUGGAACUGAGACACGGUCCAGACUCCUACGGGAGGCAGCAGUAGGGAAUCUUCCGCAAUGGGCGAAAUCCUGACGCAGCAACGCCGCGUGAGUGAUGAAGGUCUUCGGAUCGUAAAACUCUGUUAGUAGGGAAGCGGUACCUAAACAGAAAGCCACGGCUAACUACGUGCCAGCAGCCGCGGUAAUAC
rnacentral:rRNA from 1 species